ensembl:lncRNA
GUUUUUCAUGGACUUAAAUACAAAUAUCUGAUAUUUGAGAAACAAAACAAAACAAAACAAAACAGCUCCUAAGGGCAAAAAGAAAACUUCAAAAAUAAAAAAAAAAAAUAAAUGCUAAGUUAAAUAUUUAUAAAACUUUACAUUAUGUCAGCUGACCUAGUGUGAUUCAGCACACACAUGAAUAUACACAUAUAAAAUAUUUAUGCUUAUAGACAUAGUGUGUAUACAUAUGUGUGUAUGCAUAUCUGGGUGUAUAUGCAUGUAUACAUUCAUGCAUUAUAUAUAUAUAUAUAUAUAUAUAUAACUAAACAACAAGGAAAAAAGCCAAUAAUUUAUACUAAAACAAAUUCAGAAGUAGUUUUAUAAUCCUUAGUAUUUUCUUAGAUGAAUCAAUAUAGGUAUAUUGUGGAUAUAUUUUAUUGUAAUGAAGUAUGCAGGGAGGCCUCUGAAAAUAAGAGUGCCGAAGAUCCUUUAAAGGUUAAGAAGGGGUGCAUCUAUAGGAGCUUCAGAAGGAUAAUGCUUCCCUCCCCCCCAGGGAGAAAGUCCAAAGAAGGUCAGGCUAGAAUUGCAUGUUGUUUUCAAAGUAGGCACUGUGACAUGUCACAAAUUUCACAACUAAGGAGAGUUCUGGACCCACACAGUCAAGUUUAUCUGUGUAUCUGGCAGGUACUUUUGACUUAAUUCUUCAUGUCCGUGGCAACUCUUCAUGUCCAUGGCAACUCAGGCGGACUCUUGGAUUGGUAAUAAGAAGGACUAGGCAAGCGCAGGGUCAUUUAAUUGCCUUCCAAUUUUUUCAUGUUUCUCAUUUGUAAAGGACCCGAUUCCCUCAGACUCAACUGAAGGCAGAAAGAGCAGGGACCAAGGGACAGGUCAACGGACAACAUAAACAGAAGAAAUACAUGCUAACCUCCCAGAGAUGCUGAGGGAUGCUGCUUGGGGCAGGGCUCUUUCUUUAGUCUGCCUUGAACUUUCACCUGGUUCUGGUGGGAGAGAGGAUCAGAAUCUGGAACAGAGUCUGAAUCAGAAUCCGGAACAGAAUGUCCCCAAAAGUGGGACAGUUGCCGUCCCAGGUUUGGUUUUCCUCAAAGGUUGUGAAGGGAAGAGAGAUGCCGCAUCCCCAGGGCCUGAGGCUAUUGUAGACCAGCUCCACCCAAUAAACCAAUGGACUACUGCCAGCAACUAUGUGAGAGAAGGUGGAAAAGGAAACCAGAGUGUGGGGGUCUUUCUAUCUGCUAAAGAAGGUGCACAGUCUCUGGUAGAUCAUGUGAAAUCAGGAAAGGGAGUCUGGCAUGUCCUCAGAAAAUAACAGUCAUGUCAAAUGAUAGCUCUUCUCUAAAGGAUUUGCAUCACCAUCAUCUGAAGUUUUCUUCACACUCAUCCCAUAAACCAAAUGGACAAAAAGAGAACUAUCACGGAGGGUCCAUGACUUCUCAGGCACUCUCUCAGUUUGCCUCAUCUGCUCAAGGUCAAAGAGGCAGGACUGGAAUGUUCCACAUCUGACUCCAGGCAUGGGAGGAGAGAGUGGCAGGCUCAUGGCAAAACCCCACACCAUAUGAUUCUGCAUUUGUAUCCAUGUUCUCUCCAAGAUAAUUAUCAAAAUUCACAUUGUUUUGGUGCUGAAAAAUGAGAAAAGGAAGAGUUUCACACAGCUCCUUUAGAUACAUUAAAUCCUUCGAUCCUUAAGACAACCUUUUGAAAGAGACUCAGUAAUCUGACUUGCAUUUUUGAGUGCCCACUCCAUGAAGGGCAUAGGGCAUGGGCCCUUAUAAUGACAAGCAAAAGCUGACAUGAUCCCCUUAUCUUGGGGGAUGUUUCAGUCUUCAUGGAUGAGAGAUGCCAUCAAGAAGCUCCUGUGAUAAACGUAAAAGGACAACUUGUGUGGGUCUACAAGGGUCAAGAGACAUAUCUAGGAAACCGUGUGAUAAGGGAAGUGUUGGGGAGAGUAUUCCAGACCAAAGGAGUAGUGCCUGCCCACGUCGUGUGGCUGAAGUCGGAAGGCAUGCUUGACCAUGCUGGAAAGCCAGCAUGGCUGAAGGGAAGAGGAAAGAAAGGCAGCAGAUAUGGUUAUCAUCUGUCUCCACUUUAGAGAUGAAAAACAACCUCAGAGCAGGGCAUGGCUUACCAAUAUCACCACAAGGGAGUGGAAGAACAGUACCUAAAAGGUUAUAAUUAAAUCUCAAACUCUGUCACACUCAUGUCUUCCUCCGUGCUAAACUUGUCUUAGCAAGAAGAAAAAGUUGGCUGGGAUGCCAACUUAAUUCCCAACUUAAUUUCAGUGGGAAGGAAGCUCACAGGUGGAUUGACUAUUUUGUAAUAUCAGCACCAAAAGGCACCAAAAGCGUGUACCAAGAGCCGAAUAGUGUUUCCUUCAGCCUACUUGCCAUACACGACUAAUGCACAGUGGUGCCUUCUGAAAUUCACAGCAGCCAUAUUUCUGUUUGUAAUUUAUUUUUCCCUUCUUUUCCCAGAUAAUUUUUCAGAACUUUUUGAACACCAUGAGGAAGACUAGAAAAAAACACAGACUGUGUACUGGAAAAGCAAGGGUACACACACACACACACACACACACACACACACACACACGCACAGAGUGGUAAUUUCAUUUAUCAUUACUUUGUCCUGUGACUUGGAGAGAUUCCCUAAUUGCUGCUCCCACCAAAUCCCACCAAACCAGUGUGCUUAACAGACUUUAAUAGGCAGCUGUGAGAAUCCGCUAAAGCUAAAGAUUUGGUCCCUUUCCUCCUCUCCAGUCAUGCACACUGGCACACAUCUUUGUGCAUGCAUUUCUUGGGGACCGCACAUCCCAGCAAGCCCAGCCCUGAGUCCCUCCUCCAUUCUCAGUGUCCUUUUAGACUCUCCCCCUCAUCACUCCUUGAUUUCUUUUGUGAAUGUCAGCCCCUCCUCAGGGGCUUCAACAAGCUCAGUAACUACAAAAAGCAAUUGUCUGAGGAUAGAAGUGUUGCCUGCAUCGUAUGCUUUUGCCACUUAUUAGCUCUGCAACCUUGACUAAUUCACCUGUUCUUUCUGAGCAUUAGUUUUAUCUUUGAGAUAUCACCUAUUGUUCAGAUUUUUGUAGGGAUUAAAUGAAUUCAAACACCACAGUGGAUGGUGUGUGGAUGAUAGUUGCAACUAUGAAUGAAUGCCUCCGAGUCUCAUGUUCACCGCCUGUAAAUUGAAGGUGUUAGACCAAAUGAUCUUUGCAUCUUUUUAGGUCAGAAGGUCUCUGAUUCUUGGCCACUCAUCAUGCCUUGCGUCCUCCUUUGACUUAUUCCCUCUCUAACUCCAUCACAGUCCAUUCCAAACACAAUAGGCUGAUCGCAAGGCACUGUGAAAACCGAUUUGGUUUAUAGAUGACAUGGGUGCUGGUGGUGUUUCUCAGCAUUAAGACUGAAAUGACCCAUGCUGAGGAAGAACCAUGGUUUCUGAAAUUGUAAGUGCUAAGUCCCCAAGGAUGAACAUGUCUUUCUAAAUUAUAGAGCUAGGGGCAAGAAGUGACCUUUGAGGAGUUGGAUCAGAGGAAUGUAGACUGUAGGAGCAUUUGAGAGUAUUAAACACCCCUUUGGGAUUUGCUCCCAAAUCUCCUCACUGGCCUGCUGCACUAUUUUCAACAUAGGACUCAGGUUUCAUUAGCAUCGCUGACGACUCCUUUGGGCCUGCUUAUCACUGUGCAAAGAAAUGAGCAUCUCAUAGGAAGGCAGGACACAGAAAUAGAAAGUGAAUCAGCUUCAGGGCCAGGGGAACCAGGACUCCUUCCAUCCCAGCUCUGCCAUUUACCUGCUGUGUGGCCUUCGGCAGAUGAUUCAACCUUUGUAUUCGGUAUUUUCCUAAUUUAUACAUUUGAGAAUAAUAUUUGAUAUGUCUUAAAGUUGCUUUCAAGAUUACUUUGUACACUGGCACACAACAAUCAUGAAAGAUAGAAAGAUAGGCUUUGUAUUACUUGGUAUGGCUUUGGCUCCAUCCAAACUUAAACACAGCAAACAAGAGAAAGCAGUAUGAUGGGAUGUUUACGUGAUGACCAUUGUCUUCAUUCAAAUCCAACUUCUGUCAUUUAUUAGCCAUCAUCAUAGGCCGGUUUCUUAACCUCUUUGUGUCUUGUUAUUUUCAUCUGUGAAACAGGUGUAAUAAUGGAUGUAGUUGUGAGGGGUAAAUAAGUUAAUUGUUAUGUACAGUACUAGCUGACAUAUGGAAAGUAUGAUAUGUGAUACCUAUUUUUUAUAGGUCUAGGACAGCAAGAAGGUGAACAUACCUAGAUUCUGAAUUUGAAUUAUCAGCUCCAACAAUGUCAAGAGUAUGGGCGCCUGAGUAGCUCAGUCGGUUGAGCCUCUGAUGCUUGAUUUUGGCUUAGGUCAUGAUCCCAGGGUUGUGGGAUCAAGUCCCAUGUUGGGUUUCAUUCUGAGCAUGAAGCCUGCUUAAGAUUCUCUCUCUUCUUCUGCCCCUCUUCCCUGUUCGAGCAUGUGAAUUCUCUCUCUCUCUCUCUCUCUCUCUCUCUCUCUCUCCUCUCAAAAAAAAAAAAAAAAGUAUGGGUCAGAAUUGUUGAAAUUCCUUGUCUUUUUUUUUUUUUUCAUGGUUAUAAAAUAGCUGCUGCUUGAGCUCCAAGCUUCAAGGCUUCAUACAACACAACCCAAAACAGGGAGGGGAGGGAUGAUGGUCCAGGUUAUUUUCCUCAGUCAGCUGAUUUUUGUUUUUUGUUUGUUUGUUUUUAAAUCCCCAGAAAUUCUAGGCUUCCUCUUAUUUCUCAUUGGCCAGGAUUGGGUAAUUGGCAAAUGUGAAUGAGAUUCUUUGACAUAAACCAGUCGUGAUUUACCCUAUGGGAUUGGGAAAAUUGCUUCUGAAUCAAAUGAAAAUACUGUUAGCAAGUAAAAGGGGGUCGUUUGAUACUCGACUAAUAGUAUUGGAUCCAUCCUUAUUUUAGAAAUAAUGACACAGAAUUCAGAGACAUAAAGUGACCUAGCUAAGGCCACCUGGUUUGUGGGUGCUGGGUUCUAGAUUGGAGCAUAGAUUCUGUGACCACCAAAUUGCUUUUCCUCAUUGCCACUUACAAGUUCUUUGUUAACUGGAAAGAACAACUAGAAGAUGUCAUGUAUUAUUUGGGGAUUAAAGCAUUACAGACCACCAUUUUAAAUGAUAAAUGUGAUCUUUUGGAAGUGAAAUAAAAAUUUGGAACUAGAAUCUUCA